GGAGUGCUCGCAAGAGAACCGGAACACAGGUGCUGCAUGGCUGUCGUCAGCUCGUGUCGUGAGAUGUUGGUUAAGUCCCGCAACGAGCGCAACCCUUGUCAUUAGUUGCCAUCAUUUGGUUGGGCACUCUAAUGAGACUGCCGGUGACAAACCGGAGGAAGGUGGGGAUGACGUCAAGUCCUCAUGGCCCUUAUGGGUAGGGCUUCACACGUCAUACAAUGGUCGGUACAGAGGGUUGCCAACCCGCGAGGGGGAGCUAAUCCCACAAAGCCGAUCGUAGUCCGGAUCGCAGUCUGCAACUCGACUGCGUGAAGUCGGAAUCGCUAGUAAUCGUGGAUCAGCAUGUCACGGUGAAUACGUUCCCGGGUCUU
rnacentral:rRNA from 1 species